UCCGUAGGCGGAUUGAUAAGUCAGAGGUGAAAUCCCACAGCUUAACUGUGGAACUGCCUUUGAAACUGUUAGUCUUGAGUUAUAUGGAAGUAGAUAGAAUGUGUAGUGUAGCGGUGGAAUGCAUAGAGAUUACACAGAAUACCGAUUGCGAAGGCAGUCUACUACGUAUAUACUGACGCUAAUGGACGAAAGCGUGGGGAGCGAACAGGAUUAGAUACCCUGGUAGUCC
rnacentral:rRNA from 1 species